GAUGAACGCUGGCGGCGUGCCUAAUACAUGCAAGUCGAGCGAACAGAUGAGGAGCUUGCUCCUCUGACGUUAGCGGCGGACGGGUGAGUAACACGUGGAUAACCUACCUAUAAGACUGGGAUAACUUCGGGAAACCGGAGCUAAUACCGGAUAGUAUAUUGAACCGCAUGGUUCAAUAGUGAAAGACGGUUUUGCUGUCACUUAUAGAUGGAUCCGCGCCGCAUUAGCUAGUUGGUAAGGUAACGGCUUACCAAGGCAACGAUGCGUAGCCGACCUGAGAGGGUGAUCGGCCACACUGGAACUGAGACACGGUCCAGACUCCUACGGGAGGCAGCAGUAGGGAAUCUUCCGCAAUGGGCGAAAGCUUGACGGAGCAACGCCGCGUGAGUGAUGAAGGUCUUCGGAUCGUAAAACUCUGUUAUUAGGGAAGAACAAAUGUGUAAGUAACUAUGCACGUCUUGACGGUACCUAAUCAGAAAGCCACGGCUAACUACGUG
rnacentral:rRNA from 1 species